GUUGAAGAAAGAUCUUAGUCUAACUGGCCACAGCCGUUCUUCACGCUCCACCAACAGCAUGUGAAUAGGCAAGGAUUAGUUUUUCUAGUUGGUAACUUUUCUGCAUUCAGAGUUUGUGCCUUUUGUAUGCAAGUAAAAAGGAUUCUUCUAUAGCUCAGUGCGUAGAUUUCUUCUGUGUAAUUCCACCUGUUAUCAAAUUUGAAUUCUUCCAUAUGUUUAACUCUUUCUAUUAGUAAGAUCUGCUGAGUGCUUUUUACUUGCAUACAAAAGGCACAAAC
rnacentral:misc_RNA from 1 species